UCUGUUCUCCACCCCAGCAUCCUUCCUUCUGGCUACCUAGUUCCUUGGGAUCCCUAGACAACUAACUGGUGAACACCAAGCUCAAUGGGGACACUCUAGAACAAUGGUCAAGGUCAGUUAAAAGAGGGAGGGACCGCAUUGGAUUCCCCAUUCACAGACUGAGACAAUGAAGCAUUAUUCUGACUUAAAAGGACCUUGACACGUAUGAUGGGGACGCUGGCCAGCUGUUUUGUGGUUGGUCCCUCAGCUUGGGCAUGACUCUGUAGAAGUGAUGGAUGUUCUAUGACGUCUGUGCACCAUCAGGGAGAAACGCAACAGGUACUGGAAGAAAUGACAAGGUACAACAUCUGUCUAUGAUAGCCAUGAUGUUGGUGGGGAGGCACACCAGCAGACCAGAGGCUGCAGCUGGAGUA